AAUACUCCACCGAAAACACAACCACCGACCUAGAUGCGGAACAUAGAAAGUAGUUUUUCCAGCGUUAGAUAAACUUCACCGCUUAAUCUGAGCCGCCAUCGAAAACCUCUCUCUAUAAAUACCAACCACUCUUGGUAAAUCAUUGCGGUUCUGUUUUUUUAGGAAUUUUCUUGGGUGCAGGAUAUGUUGCAGAACUGUUGGAGGGGCUCAAGGAUUCUGGUUUUCGUCUGAGAGGCACGACAAUCUCUUGAUUAUUCUAUGGUUAUCUCCUCUGCUUUAUUCUAUGGUUCUCUCCUCUGCUUCGUCGAUUUUACUUUGUUGUUUGAGUUUAUGACAGGCGGAUGGUCUUAGUUUUGAUUAAAAUUGCGAUCAUCUUAGUUUUGAAGCAUGGUUGUUUUGGAAGUAGAUCGUUGAUUGGAUGUUAGGAGUGCUUGAUUAGAGGAGUUUUUAUGGUUAUUAUGGUUGGAUUGAUCUCUAAUUUGACUCCCUAUGCUUCGAUUUUUUUUGAUUUUAUGAUCAGAGGAGGAUCUCAGUUUUGAUUAAUAUAGGAUUCAACCUGUUGGGAGUUUGUUUGCAGGAUUUUAUUUGUAUGAUGUGAAGCAUGGUUAUUAUGGAAGCAGAUCGUUAAUUGGAUGUUUGGAGAGCUUGAUAUAAGGAGGUUUCAUGGAUAUAAUGGUUGGAAUGAUCGCUAAUUUGAUUCCCUGUGUUUGGUUUACGAUUGCCUACCUGCCUAUUUAAAGUGCCUGAUGAAGGGGGUUUCAUAUAAAUUUGACUGGAUUUAACUCUUUAAUUCUUAUUUACUGCUUUAAUGAUCUUUAAGUCGAAGUUAAGUCCUUAAUUCCACGUUUUCUUCAGGCGCGGUUGGGAAUUGAACGAAGAAGGUUAAUGGGUGGUGUGUAUAUGAGACCGCAAGGAUCAGUUAAAAAAAACUUCAAUAGGUUUCCUUUUGGACUAGUAUGCAAAUCUAUUGUUAACGUCCAUCUUUGUUACAAAGGUUUUGUCGGAUGAGAGACUUGAUUGUUUGGUUUAUGAUUCACAGAUGCAUCAUAACGCUGAUAAAGGGCAACCUUGGAGAUUGGUACAUCCUGGGUCAGUUGUUGAACAGUGUAAUUUCUUCAGUAUACGAUUGGAAGGAAGCAUGGCUGUUUGGGUUGAUAUUUCUAUGUGAUGAUAGGAAUCUAGAUUAUUCGGUGCCUAUUUGAAGAUCUUGAUGAAAGGAGGAACAGUUGAGAAUUGAAAGAAAAAGGUUAAUGGGUAGUUGUAAUAUGAGAGAAAAAAUAGAUACAUCAUAAAUUGCAGAGGCCGGAACUCAUGAAACAAAGUUCAUGAAUAAAGGGGGGGGUCCUUUUGACGACAUAGAACAUCUGAUUGGACAUUCUAAUAAAUUAUUUAUGAUUUGGAAUACUACUUGAAGAGUUUGUUUGGUGUCCCUAAGAGCAAUUAGUGAUACAUCAUCAUGAGCGUAUGGAUCCAACAAACGACUUAUUUUAAUCAAUUUGAGACUUACCUUUUCUCUUCACUUUGUUUAUUGAAUUCUUCUGUAAGGUUUGGUUUCAUAAUCUUGAACAUUUAUUGUUGUUAGUUUGUUGUUUUAUAAAGUAUUGUCUCCAAAUUAUUUGCCUCUAUUGGCCAGAAUUUUAUUUGAAUUUAUAAUAAAUAUUUAUUUUGUGAGUUUUCUAUUAUUUAUUUUAUUGUUGUAUAAUAUAAUUGUGCUAAUUAUGCGUUAUAAAUGGCAUUACAUUUUGCACAUGCAGACCUCAUAAAGCCACAUUUUUUCCCCCUUCCAAUUUCUACUAUGUUCAGCAAUUGGAUUAUUUGAUUUUGUCAUUAAUAUAGGGUUUAUCUAUUUUGGGAGUAAAAUGGGCAAAUGAGGUAUGGAGGCCUAUUGGAUUUGGGAGCCAUAGAAAAUUCAGUCUCUCUUAUUUUGUGGCUAGAGCCGAAGGGUGUGAAGUGAACAAGUUGCCAAUAACAUUCAUAUUUGUAGCAAUGAAACAUUAGUUGAAGAUAGUUGGAAGAGUUAAACUGUAACCUUAGAACUAAUAUUUGAGUCUAUGGUUUAGACUUGGUUCAUUGGUUUCUGUAGGUAACCGUGCCACUUUUGGCAAUUUUCUUGAGAAAUAUCUUUUAUUUGGAUACUUAUUUGGGAUUUUUCCAAUAAAACUAGUGAAGUAAAAUUUCCUUCCCAACGAAUAGUGACACAACGAGGUGCACGAGGAAAGAGUCUAAACUGAACAAAAAUAGGAAAUCAGAAAUUGACUACUGUCCUUCACAAUCAAAGAGGCAGCCUAUAUAAUCUGAGGAAGAUGGGAAGCCUAAUCAGUUGGAAAUGAUGAGAAAGGCUUAACAAUCUAGCCAACAAUGGGCUGUUUUUACAGCUUCUACUGUAGCUGUGGUGGCAGAUACACUGAGCAAUAGGUUCUAAGUACCGUCUGCAAAUGAUCUGUUGGAGGGGUAUUGAAUUCAGACGAGGGAACUAUACGAGGAGCAGAAUUGAAGUCCAAAUGCAGAUUAGAAGCCCCAUUUGGAACAACUGAUUCAAUGCAAAGAUGACCUUACUUACGUGGAGCAGAAUGGAAGUCAAAAGCAUAAUGAUGCUAAAUAUUAGAACACCCAAUAAUGUAGCUUUGUUACGACAUGGACUUCAGAAAAUUUAGGGUUUUUCAAAAUGAUACUUCCUCCUUACCUUGAGAAUUCUAUUUCAUCCUCACCCAAUGUUUUCCCCUUGGAGGGAAUCACGUCCCUCAAUUGCCAACUAGGAGCAUGGAAGCGAUAAAAGCAUGCCAACUUUCAUCAGCUAACACAAUGGAUCAAUGUAGGGGAGAAACGUUGAGAAGCCUAAGCUAGCUAUUAGUUGCCGUACCCUAGAGGCAUCUUCUUAUCAAGAUGAAUAUUAGUGGUCAAGCCCUGUAAUAAGGAUAUGCGCCCUAAGCCUAGAAAACGGGUCAAUGAUGACCUCCUAUCUAUUCACUUAUAUAAGCUGUGGCUGCAGUUGCAAAAAUAAGAGUUUGAAUACGACUUCUAAAUCAUCCAAGGAGCAUGAAAGGGAGGAACCACUGAGGUACCAAAGAAAUAAGAAGGCCUUCUUUCUCACUUGAUAUAUAGUAUAACCUUGUACAUGGUAGAACAUUCAUAUUGGCCUCUGAUAGAAAUAGAAUUGAAAAAAGAAUUAUUUUGAUUCAACUCUCUCUUUCUCAACUCGUUUGCUCUUGCCCUUUUUCAGUGGGACUUUGAGGGGAAAGAAGGGAAACCGACUAGCCCUUUGAGGCGAAGGCAACACUCGGACUGAGAAUCCAUAUUGGAUGACUCUGUCAAUUUUGGCGGUGUGUGUAACAGAAUGGACUCCCUUCAAUCCACGCCAGUAGAGCAGCAACAUAUCAUCUCCAAAGUGGUUCUACGCCUCACCUCUAUGGACGGAAGGCUUGAACAGUCUUUGUGCCUGGGAUCCUCUACAGAGUCAUUGACCAACCUUCAUCAGGUGAAUCUUGCCCCCACUCUGAAAUCUCAUCAUGCAUUAGCUGGUCAGAAUUCUCCACCCUUUGUUUGCCAGGAUCCCUUGUGGGUUCUCUAGUUCAGAUUUUGGUUGAUGGGGGUAGCACCCAUAACUUCAUCCUGAGCCGAGUUGCAAAUCUUUGGGUCUUAUUGUGGAUGCAUCUCCAAAAGUCUCGGUGUUGGUGGGGGUACGAUGAACGUUUUUAUAGUGAAGGCUUCAUUACACAAUUAUCAAUUUUGGUCCGAGGUCAUUACAUUGCAAUUGAUGUUUUUCUUUUUCAUAUUCAUGGGGCUGAAUUGGUUUUAGGAGUCUAGUGGUUGUUGCAAUUGAGUCCUGAUCUUCGAUUAUAGUCAGGUCACCCUAGAAUUCAAGCUUAAUGAUGCAUCGAUUAAGCUCAUUGGCUCACCCAAGCCUUUCUUUGUAACUCUCAACUACCAGAACCUGAGAUGUUCGGUUGAAACCGACUCGUGGGCAGAUCUCUUGCAGCUAGUAGUUCAACCCAUCUCUACCACAUCAGUUGUUUGUGAGAAUGUUGAAAUGAGCACCCUCUUCGACUCUUUUGCUACUAUGUUUGUUGCUCCUCAAGGUUUGCCACCUUCAAGACCUCAUGACCAUUUUAUCCACCGAAAGCCAGGAUCACAGCCAGUCAACAUUGGCCUGUCUCGUUAUCCACAUUUUCAGAAAAAUGAGAUUGAAUGGUUGGUCACGGGGAUGCUACAAGAAGCGAUAAUUCAACUUAGUAACAGCCUCCAGUUCUGUUGGUUAAGAAGAAGGAUGGCAUCUAGUGCUUUAAUGUUGUUUAUGGGGCUCUUAAUGCUAUUACUCUUAAAGACCGUUUUUCCAUUCCGAUGGUUGAUGAACUAUUGGACGAACUACAUGGUGAGCAAUUUUGCUCUAAAUUGGAUUUGUGGUCGGGUUAUCAUCAAAGUCGCAUUCAUCCUGCUGACUUUUCAUGCUACUAUGAAUGCUAUUUUCCGUCCAUUCCUUAGUCGAUUUGUCCUCGUUUUCUUUGAAGAGAUUCUGAUAUAUAGCCAAUCUUGGACCUCUCCUUUACAACAUUUUUCAAGAGGUAUUGCUGGUUCUACAGACUGACUCAUGGACUCUUUUCCAAGAAAACUAUAUGUUCUUUUGGGCAACGCUCUUUGGAAUACUUGGGUCAUAUUAUGGAUGAAUCCAAAGUGUCUGCAAUGUUGGUUAGCCCUAUAUCUACUACCUCCAAAGAAUUGCGUGGAUUCUUGGGCCUCACUGGUUAGUAUAGGCAUCUCAUUAGACGCUAUGCCCAUAUUGCAACUCCAUUGACAGAUUUGUUUAGGAAGGAUCUCUAAUGGAACUCAGAAGCCCAAACUUCAUUUCAAGAGCAAGCCAUGAGUUCAGACCUUCCAACUAUUGAGACAGAUGCUUCAGGUUGUGGUAUUGGUGUCGUCCUCACACAAGCUGGCCAUCCAUUGCAUUUUUAGCAAGAAACUCUCUUUAAAAAUAUGCAAUCUGCGUCUACAUAUGUCUCUGAAAUAUUUGUAAUGACUAAGGUAGUGCUGAAAUAGCGUCAAUACCUUUCGGGUCUUAAAUUCUUCAUAAAGACAGAUCGGAAGAGUUUGAAGGGCUUAACGAAGUAGACCAUUCAGACCCUUGAACAACAAUAGUGGUUGUCCAAAUUACUGGGAUUUUCUUUUGAAAUUUCAGAAAAACCUGGUAAAGAGAAUGUGGUGGCAGAUGCCCUAAUCACGUUCUAAGCAUUUAUUUAUUUUUUAAGGGUAAUUUUACUUCUUGACUCAGUUGCGCAGUGAGAAUGUUGCCAAUUUGAAGCUUGUAAUAUUUCUUCUGACCUUUCUUUUUAUUUGGGGUAUUCAGUCAUAGAUGGUCUCAUGUAUUUUCACAAACGUUUAGUUAUUUCUUCUGAUUCUACCCUUUGUGACUUGCUACUUCAAGAAUUCAAUUCUUCCCCUUGUGGUGGA